CGUAAAUAUCGAUUUAGUUGUAGGAUUAUAAUAGAUGAAAUGGAACGUAGUAUUCACAGAGUAAACUUUAAUUCCAAUAGCAUUGGAAUUUCCGUACGGAUUCAAAGUCUACGGAGCUCUAGAAUACAGAUUUUAGCCACCCAUCGCCUUUUUCCGUAAGCUAAUUGUCUUGUAUGUUUUGAAAGCGUAUAGGGAAAUUGUCUAUUGAAGUGAGAAUCGGCUUCCUGUUAGGCGCGGAAGACGACGUCGCGUCUAUGACGGUACGGAGGACAGCUGCGCUCCAGUCAAUGCUGUGGCGGCGCGGGAGGCCUGAUAAAGAGGGCUGAAGAAAUACUGAAAUACUCAUUUAUUCAUAAAUAAAUAAUUAUUUACAUGAUAAUUAGACCUGGCCGGUAACUUAUUUGUACAGGUACGGGUCUACAACCGCGACGACAUCGUGCACCUCGACCUCUACUGUUCAGGUCGUCUAUCUUAUAAUAGUCUUUAUAUUUUUGCAGUCACAGCCCAGCACCAGCCAAAAUUAUGGGUCGGCAGAGUAGUAGCCACUCCAGAACCCUUUCAACGCCACUGCCAAGCCUUGGUCUCCCUGCGAUGUAUGACAGCGAUGCAUUGGAUAUUAGUAAUAUAGAAUCAGAAAAUAAUAGAGAAUCCGCUGAAGUAAAUAUUGAGUUAAUACAAGCUGAAACUUUUGAUCCAUGUUUACGUAUUCAAGAGACUUAGACAUGCACAUCUCAAAGUAUGCCAGUAAUGGACGAUAGAGACUGGGAAGAAAUCUGUAAGGAGAACAUUCCCAACAAUAUAGAAGUCCCAAAUGUAUUUGACUCUUCAACACCAAAGGCUAUGCUGCGUAAACCAGUCCUAAAGAGUUAUCUGUGUCUCAGAACAAAAGGAAAAUUUAUUUUAAUCCGUUGGAGACAAGGAAGCGUAUUAUGAUCCACACGGAUAAAAGAAUUGAAUUUUUAAAACAGAAACAAACGAUAAGAGAACAUGAUUUGUCCAAUUAUGCAAAGGAAGAGCAUGAAAAACAUUUGCUGAACAAAGAAGAGGCCCACAAGAAAGCCAUGCUGCAUAAAGAGGAGGCGCACCAAAAAGCGAUGCAGCAGAUGGAAGAAAGGCACAUUAAAAUAUAUGCAGCAGCGAGAAGAGUUGCAUCCAAUUGAGAUGGAAUGCAAGAAGAUGCAAUUAGAAAAUAUUAAAAAGAGUUUAAUGUAAAAUUUAUGUUUUUUUUUAAAUUAAUAUAGUUUUUUAAGUUACAUUCGU